GCGGCAAAAGCUCAAAUUUGAAAUCUGGCGUCUUUGGCGUCCGAGUUGUAAUUUGAAGAAGGUAUCUUUGGGCCCGGCUCUUGUCUAUGUUCCUUGGAACAGGACGUCACAGAGGGUGAGAAUCCCGUGCGAUGAGAUGACCCGGGUCUGUGUAAAGUUCCUUCGACGAGUCGAGUUGUUUGGGAAUGCAGCUCUAAGUGGGUGGUAAAUUCCAUCUAAAGCUAAAUAUUGGCGAGAGACCGAUAGCGAACAAGUACAGUGAUGGAAAGAUGAAAAGAACUUUGAAAAGAGAGUGAAAAAGUACGUGAAAUUGUUGAAAGGGAAGGGCUUGAGAUCAGACUUGGUAUUUUGCAUGCUGCUCUCUCGGGGGCGGCCGCUGCGGUUUACCGGGCCAGCAUCGGUUUGGAGCGGCAGGAUAAUGGCGGAGGAAUGUGGCACGGCUUCUGCUGUGUGUUAUAGCCUCUGACGAUACUGCCAGCCUAGACCGAGGACUGCGGUUUUUACCUAGGAUGUUGGCAUAAUGAUCUUAAGUCGCCCGUCUUGAA
rnacentral:rRNA from 1 species